UUAAGUUCAGCGGGUCUUCCUGCCUGAUUUGAGACCAUGGUUCAAGUUAACCUUAGAGGCUAACUUUAAUAGUUGAUUGCCAGACUAGCACCAUCACCCGUACUGAGUAUUAGAGAAACCGAGGUUCCAUACACAUACUUUUCCGUUACUUGACAGUAUCCAGCAAAAUAGUUUUAAAGGCACGCAGGGUAAGUGCGACG
rnacentral:misc_RNA from 1 species